rnacentral:lncRNA from 1 species
AGCACUGUGGCCAGGUAGCCUGAGACCCGGCGAGAGACAGUGACCUAAAACGGAAAAGAGGGUUUGGUGGUGUGGGGCGAGGGGGAGAAAGAGAGAAACAGUAAGGGCCAAUAAGCCUCGACUGAUGAUGAGCGUAGGGAUGCAGAGAAAAAGGAAGGGUCAGUUGAGGUCAGCGCCCUCUGGUUACUGCCCCCUCCGAACCCAGGAGAUCACACAGAGAUCGGAGGAAUUUCGGCUAAAGAAAUUUAAGACCAAAACACAAGUAAGUCCUGCAGCUGACACAGGCCGGGAAGAAGCCAAAAGCCCUUCCCAGGGCGCUGUCUAGUUCUCAGAGGAGCGACCGUCCUCCGGGUAAAUAUUUACUCAGUGGGAGACUAGAAGCUGGCUGGACGGGAGCGUAUGAAGGAGGGGGCUUCGAGGGGUGGAGAGACUCCGUACGCUCGACACUGGCGGGGACAGACCUGUGCACGGGCCCGAGGGGAGUCGGGGCCCGGGAACUUCAGAGACGGCCGGGUCCCGACGCGCGGCUGGGGAACUUAGCGCGCCCCUUUGGCUGGACUCCUUCCCUGCCCUUGCAGGCCCCGGCCAGAUGCCGUAAAAUCUUCAUAAAUCUGUCAGCGGUCCCAGUGCUUCGGGCGAUCACCUGCGGCGUGCCUCUCCUGGCACCAGCGGGGUCUGGGAAGAGAUGCGGGGAAGGAACUGGAAUCUGGAUCCUUCCGAGGCCGCCCCCGCGUGGCCCUGGCAGACCGCGCCCGGACCCAGGCGCCACAGGCUGUGCGGGGAGUGCGGACCCCCCGGCUCUCCAACCCGGACCGACGUCCCGGGCGGCUCCGCCUCGCCCCCGCUUCCCGGUCCUGCAGGUCAGCGACGACCGCAGAUGGGACGGGAGCGCGAGGGUGGGUUGAGAGGGGCGUGUGUAUGUGCGGGAGAGGGGUCCUGCUAUUCUCAGGCGCUUUCAGGGAGACUAGAGUUGCCGACGAGAAUGUUAAGAAGAGAUUCCUCCAACCUGCCCCUCUGCCGGGAAAAGACAGGACCAAGAGUGAGGCCCAGGCAACUACUGCCGCCUCUCGCCCUGCCCAGGGGAGUUUCGGGGAUCGAAAGCAGCCAGAGUCUGAGUUCGGGGAUGGGUUUUAAAAACACAGUUACUUCUUCCAGUCGUCUGAGGGAGAAUACGGUAGAGGCAAGAUCUCCGAUCCUGUUUCCCCACGGGAGCUCCUCUUCCUGGGAAAUCAGAGACUUGGGUUAUAUAAGAGCAUACAAGACACUUAAAUGA